rnacentral:rRNA from 1 species
UGGGGGAUUUUGCACAAGGGGCGCAAGCCUGAUGCAGCGACGCCGCGUGAGGGAUGAAGGCCUUCGGGUUGUAAACCUCUUUCGCUGGGUUGAAAGGCCAUGCUUUGGGUGUGGUUGAUUUGAACUGGUAAAGAAGUACCGGCUAACUACGUGCCAGCAGCCGCGGUAAUACGUAGGGUACUAGCGUUGUCCGGAUUUAGUGGGCGUAAAGGGCUUGUAGGUGGUUUGUCGCGUCUGUCGUGAAAUCCUGUGGCUUAACCAUGGGCUUGCGGUGGGUACGGGCAUGCUUGAGAGCGGUAGAGGAGACUGGAAUACCUGGUGUAGCGGUGGAAUGCGCAGAUAUCAGGAGGAACACCGGUGGCGAGGGCGGGUCUCUGGGCCGUUACUGACACUGAGGGGCGCAAGCGUGGGGAGAGAAAAGG